rnacentral:rRNA from 1 species
UACGUAGGGGGCGAGCGUUGUUCGGAUUUACUGGGCGUAAAGGGCGCGUAGGCGGCUUAGCAAGUCGGAAGUGAAAUCCCACGGCUCAACCAUGGAAGUGCUUUCGAAACUGCUGAGCUUGAGUACGAAAGAGGAUCGCGGAAUUCCCGGUGUAGAGGUGAAAUUCGUAGAUAUUGGGAAGAACACCGGUGGCGAAGGCGGCUAUCUGGACCGACAUUGACGCUGAGGCGCGAAAGCGUGGGGAGCAAACAGG